rnacentral:rRNA from 1 species
AUUGAACGCUGGCGGAAUGCUCUACACAUGCAAGUCGAACGGUAACAGGUCUUCGGAUGCUGACGAGUGGCGAACGGGUGAGUAAUAUAUCGGAACGUGCCAAGUCGUGGGGGAUAACGUAGCGAAAGUUACGCUAAUACCGCAUACGACCUAUGGAUGAAAGCGGGGGAUCGCAAGACCUCGCGCGAUUGGAGCGGCCGAUAUCAGAUUAGGUAGUUGGUGGGGGAAAGGCUAACCAAGCCAACGAUCUGUAGCUGGUCUGAGAGGAAGAACAGCCACACUGGAUCUGAAACGCGGUCCAGACUCCUACGGGAGGCAGCAGUGGGGAAUUUUGGACAAUGGACGCAAGUCUGAUCCAGCCAUUCCGCGUGCAGGAUGAAGGCCCUCGGGUUGUAAACUGCUUUUGUACGGAACGAAAAGGUCUCUCCUAAUACGAGGUGCUCAUGACGGUACCGUAAGAAUAAGCACCGGCUAACUACGUGCCAGCCGCCGCCGUAACAC